UUUCUGCUACCGCGGUGCCACAAAAGAGCUUACUGUACAUUGAUGACUUACAGUCAAGCCUCCUGCAGCGCUGGUCAGGCCUAGCUUCAGUGCUCCAGAAAAGUGCCCUGCCCUUCCACACCAGGAUCCCUAGCGACUCCCGAAUGAUGCUUUCUUGGACUCUGUUCACAUGGCCUCAGCCCUUCUGCACCCUGCUGCACGAAACCUGGUGCCAGGCCAGGCCAGGCCAGCCGGAUCCCUGCUUACUCCUUACCCUGACAUCCCGCUGGUGGAGAGGGAUGGAGGUAACUGCAAGUGAAAGACCAGUUAGAGGACCGCAUCUGGAAGCUGUGCCAAAUUUUAAAUACUGUAUAUUUAAAUAUAUAUUUUUAUAUUAUAUACUAUAUAUAUAACAUUAUGAGCCACCAAACCCAAAGAACUAUAAUGAAGAGCCAAACAAAACAAAGUGGCUCAGGUUCUAGGGGACGUCCUAGGGUGGAGAAAGAGGCCUGGAAGGUGGGCAGCCCCUUCCAUCGAGGGUGGGGCGGCCGCCUGACCCAGUCCACCUGCACCAGUGGGGUGUGGCAUCAGUUAAGCAAAGGACCCUUAGGCCUAUGCAACAUUUCUGCCCCUAAGUUAGAGAACCACCUUUUAGAGUGGCGAUCUCAUGGGAGUGGCAGCUUGACUCUGCAGGAAAUGUGGGUGCUAUGAGUGCAGAACAGAAACUCUUACGCGUUCUGAUAUAAAAACAAUACAUGAAAGGAUGUGGAUUUAGCCGCAAAAUCACGCUGUUUCAAUUGAAUAAAGGCACCGCUGGGAUUCGAACCCAGGAUCUCCUGUUUACUAGACAGGCGCUUUAACCAACUAAGCCACGGCGCCGAAGCUGCCAUAAAGGUUCCUGAAAUUCAUCUACAAGAAUAUAGAGCUAGGAACCCGGACCGAGCUUUUUCAGAUCUUUCUAGAACUAAUUUGGUAACUCAACUGGCUCUUGCAUCACUUGUCCAUUCCUCGGAUUUCCUUCAAUGUCCAAAGACGUUAAUCAUAGAUUUCAAACCAAAAUCAUAGACUCUAAAUCAAAUUCUCGAUUCUAGAGUUCCUAGAUGAGAGGUUUGGAGGGUGCCGACUGGAUCAUCCCAUCCUGGAGAGAAAAACAUCUGCCUCCAUGAAAGCGCUUCAGGGAAAAAAAGACGCGGCGGUUGCACGUGAACCUUCCUUUCACCCGGGUGCCCAGAGACUCCUCCCUCCAAGCCUUCGGGAGCGCUAGUGAUUCAGGGAAUAGGAAGCAGUAGGUGCAAUAUAAUUCUGUUACCAGAAGGCAACUGGCUCCGGGUAGAAACUUCCGGAUAACAGCAGAGGGUCAGAAAACAAAACACACA
rnacentral:tRNA from 1 species